rnacentral:rRNA from 1 species
AACGAACGCUGGCGGCAUGCCUAACACAUGCAAGUCGAACGAGACCUUCGGGUCUAGUGGCGCACGGGUGCGUAACGCGUGGGAAUCUGCCCUUGGGUUCGGAAUAACAGUUGGAAACGACUGCUAAUACCGGAUGAUGACGUAAGUCCAAAGAUUUAUCGCCCAGGGAUGAGCCCGCGUAGGAUUAGCUAGUUGGUGGGGUAAAGGCCUACCAAGGCGACGAUCCUUAGCUGGUCUGAGAGGAUGCUCAGCCACACUGGGACUGAGACACGGCCCAGACUCCUACGGGAGGCAGCAGUGGGGAAUAGUGGACAAUGGGCGAAAGCCUGAUCCAGCAAUGCCGCGUGAGUGAUGAAGGCCUUAGGGUUGUAAAACUCUUUUACCCGGGAUGAUAAUGACAGUACCGGGAGAAUAAGCCCCGGCUAACUCCGUG